rnacentral:rRNA from 1 species
UACAGAGGGGGCAAGCGUUGUUCGGAAUUACUGGGCGUAAAGGGCGCGUAGGCGGCCUGUUAAGUCGAACGUGAAAUCCCCGGGCUCAACCUGGGAACUGCAUUCGAAACUGGCAGGCUAGAGUCUUGUAGGGGGGGGUAGAAUUCCAGGUGUAGCGGUGAAAUGCGUAGAGAUCUGGAGGAAUACCGGUGGCGAAGGCGGCCCCCUGGACAAAGACUGACGCUCAGGUGCGAAAGCGUGGGGAGCAAACAGG